CUACCCAGAGGAUUGUUACACCCUCAAUAGUGUGCUGCGUGUGGUGUCUGUAUGAUGUGACGCAUCGCUUCCCUUGGAGGUCUAGAAGAGGGCAGAAGAAAAUAAAAUUCCUACAGUGGCCUGAAGGAGUCGGACAGGGCUGACUAUGGCUCACUGAAGAGAGAAGGCUGGAGGUGUCCUUUCCCCUACAUACCCUAUGUUUACCACACCAGGACCUGUCAAAAUGUGCUUUUCAUUUGUGCCCAGGGUGCUGUAAGGGGCUGAUAAAAGAAUCCUUCAGAAGAACCCAACUGAUAAAGAGUCCACACUGCUCCUUGAAGCAGACAAGAACCAUGGUCUCUGCCUCCAACCCCAGGUCAGCCUCCCUGUGGCGAUGUGACAGCACUCUCUCCGCUCCACCCUCUACCUCCAUAAAAAUGAAGUAGUAAAACCCAUCAGAGUCACUACAAGCAUUAAAUGUACAGGCCAGCCUGGGACUAGCAUGAAACCAGCAGAAAAGAAAAACUGAGGGACAUUCGGCAAAACAACUGACUUAAAUACUUCAAAAUGUCCACAGAAUAGAACCACACCUCCUUCAAAAAGAAGUGGAGAACUGUUUUAAAGGAGACCGAGAAGCCAUGACAACACAGUGUGGUGCACCAACCUUGAUUAGAUCUGGGAUUUUAAAAAAAGUUAUAAAAGACAUUCAAACAACUGCAAAAAUUCAAAUGUGAAUUUAUAUAUACUUUUUUAUCACAUAAAAUGUCUUAAUUUUGAGGAUGCCAUUGGGUUAUAUAACAGAACAUCCUUUUCUUUAGGAGAUACAUGGUGAAGUUUUAGGGGGUGAAGAUCAUGAUGUCAGGAAUCUAUUCUGAAGUGGUUUAAUAAAACAUACAUAUUCAGGGAGACAAACAAAAGUGGCAAAUAUUAACUGAGGAAUCUAGGUCAUGGGUGUUCAUGGUACUAUUUUUAUAGCUUUUUUGUAGGUUUGAACAAUUUUCAAAAUAGAAAAAAUGGGAAAGGGGUGGGAGACAUCUCUUAGCACAGGGCCAGGCACAAGAAAGCAGUCAGUAAAUAGUAGCUCCUUGUUAUAGUCGUUGACUUUUUUUUUGUACAGAGGAUAAAC
rnacentral:lncRNA from 1 species